rnacentral:rRNA from 1 species
GAUGAACGCUGGCGGCGUGCCUAAUACAUGCAAGUCGAGCGAACAGACGAGGAGCUUGCUCCUCUGACGUUAGCGGCGGACGGGUGAGUAACACGUGGAUAACCUACCUAUAAGACUGGGAUAACUUCGGGAAACCGGAGCUAAUACCGGAUAAUAUAUUGAACCGCAUGGUUCAAUAGUGAAAGACGGUUUUGCUGUCACUUAUAGAUGGAUCCGCGCCGCAUUAGCUAGUUGGUAAGGUAACGGCUUACCAAGGCAACGAUGCGUAGCCGACCUGAGAGAGUGAUAGGCCACACUGGAACUGAAACACGGUCCAGACUCCUACGGGAGGCAGCAGUAGGGAAUCUUCCGCAAUGGGCGAAAGCCUGACGGAGCAACGCCGCGUGAGUGAUGAAGGUCUUCGGAUCGUAAAACUCUGUUAUUAGGGAAGAACAAAUGUGUAAGUAACUAUGCACGUCUUGACGGUACCUAAUCAGAAAGCCACGGCUAACUACGUG